AGCCGAGGCGCAGGCCGAGUGGGCCGCCAGGACCAAGCGAGGUGGACCCCGAAACGGACGGCCCGGAGCCCGCACCAGCCCCGCGCCUACCCGGGCCGCCCCCGCGGCCUGGCCCUCGGCGCGGGCUCCUUCCCGCUUCCCCCGACUUCACACGGCGGCUUCGGACCAACUCCCUCACUCCCGCCCGAGGGGCAGGCCUCAAAGCCCGCCUUGGCCCCGCUUUCCCGCCCCUGAACCCCGGCCCCGCGGGCGGCGGGCGGCGCUUCCUGCGCCCCGGGACUCAAUUAAACCCGCCCGGAGACCACGCCGGGCCCAGCG
rnacentral:lncRNA from 1 species